CCUACGGGCGGCAGCAGUGAGGAAUAUUGGUCAAUGGGCGGAAGCCUGAACCAGCCAAGUAGCGUGCAGGAUGACGGCCCUACGGGUUGUAAACUGCUUUUAUACGGGAAUAACGCGCCUUACGUGUAGGGCUUUGCAUGUACCGUAUGAAUAAGGACCGGCUAAUUCCGUGCCAGCAGCCGCGGUAAUACGGAAGGUCCGGGCGUUAUCCGGAUUUAUUGGGUUUAAAGGGAGCGUAGGCCGCAUGUCAAGCGUGCUGUGAAAUGUCCGGGCUCAACCCGGGCCUUGCAGCGCGAACUGGGUGGCUUGAGGCCGCGGAGAGCAGGCGGAAUUCGGGGUGAAGCGGGGAAAUGCUUAGAGAUGAGGA
rnacentral:rRNA from 1 species